rnacentral:rRNA from 1 species
UACGUAGGGGGCAAGCGUUGUCCGGAUUUAUUGGGCGUAAAGAGCGUGUAGGCGGCCAGACAGGUCCGUUGUGAAAGCCCGAGGCUCAGCCUCGGAAGUGCGUCGGAAACUAGUCGGCUGGAGCGCGAUAGAGGAGGGUGGAAUUCCUGGUGUAGCGGUGAAAUGCGUAGAUAUCAGGAGGAACACCGGCGGCGAAGGCGGCCCUCUGGAUCGUUGCUGACGCUGAGACGCGAAAGCGUGGGGAGCAAACAGG